GUUCUUGCGCAAAACUCUGGUUUUGACCUUCAGGAAACAUUAGUUAAAGUUCAAGCUGAACAUUCAGAAUCCGGUCAGCUCGUAGGUGUGGAUCUGAGCACAGGUGAGCCAAUGGUGGCCGCAGAGAUGGGUGUGUGGGAUAACUACUGUGUGAAGAAGCAGCUGCUACACUCCUGUACUGUGAUCGCCACCAACAUUCUCCUGGUCGACGAGAUCAUGCGAGCUGGGAUGUCCUCUCUGAAGGGUUGAAGCCUGCUGUGACACUACAGGAUGUUGGGGGGAUGGUUCUUUUUGUCCAAGCUUCAAGUGAUUUGGAAAAAAUUUUUCUCUUCCUGAUUGGAGAAAAGAAAUGGGACAUUUGGCACCUAUUCAAAUUAUACUGUAAAAUUUUAUUUUAUUUUUCCCUUGA
ensembl:processed_transcript